UACGUAGGGUGCAAGCGUUAUCCGGAAUUAUUGGGCGUAAAGAGCUCGUAGGCGGUUUGUCGCGUCUGCUGUGAAAACCCGAGGCUCAACCUCGGGCCUGCAGUGGGUACGGGCAAACUAGAGUGCGGUAGGGGAGAGUGGAAUUCCUGGUGUAGCGGUGGAAUGCGCAGAUAUCAGGAGGAACACCGAUGGCGAAGGCAGAUCUCUGGGCCGUAACUGACGCUGAGGAGCGAAAGCAUGGGGAGCGAACAGG
rnacentral:rRNA from 1 species